GCGGAUGUGGUGGAAUUGGUAGACACGCACGCUUGAGGGGCGUGUGGCGUAAGCCUUGCGAGUUCGAGUCUCGCCAUCCGCA
rfam:Microcoleus chthonoplastes PCC 7420 scf_1103659003825 genomic scaffold, whole genome shotgun sequence.